CCCCUGUGGCUUGUUGCGGCCUCCGUGUGCUGCAGCGAGAUGAGAAAGGAGCUCUUCGGCCCUCUCGUUGCUGCUCGGAAGCCUGCCGCUCGAGAAAGAAAGUGAUCCUGAGGCAAGCCAAACGACCCGCAGAGAAGUAAUUACUACCAACACACCUAUAGGCCUACAAAUCACGACGGUAGUAACGUACAAUGAGACCGCUGAAACGCCUCUGGCUCGACUGUGCCAGCGUUUGAAGUCAUUCCUUGAGUCCCAUGAUGGAGGUCCUUCUAAAAAUUAACGUGGUCUGGAAGCAUGGAGUUUUGUGCUGAUGCAGAGGAGAGCUGGCUUGUCUG